AUCCAGUUGACGAGUCCCAAAUAGCACGAAACACGCAUCCUGGAU
rnacentral:hammerhead_ribozyme from 1 species